GGAUAAGGGAACGAUAGAAAAUAUAUUUGUGGAUUUCUGUCUGUGUGCGAUCACUGACCUCGUGUCUUAUGUUCACAGGACUUUUCUCUGCUAAUGUGGUGACUCAUGCGUCCUGAAGUGACUCCACUGAACUUAAUGGGUUUUGAACAUUAUUGGAUGAGACGGCCCUGUGGUCAAAGGAAGUGGAAUUGGUGUGGUGUGUUCUUGGUGAGCUGGAGUGAAGAAGAAGAAAACUUGCGUGGCGGCAUCACCUGAGGACGCCAGAAUAACAGGACUGGACUCAAACCUACAGAUUUUUUUGCAGGUUUGUGUCUGCAUCCAAAGCUGAGGCCACACAGCAGGCCUAGAAGCUGCAUGUGACAGCGGUGCAGACAGCGGUGAUGGAGUCAUCUACGCCACGGACAACCCCGGUGAAGCUGCCUCACAUGGACUUCUUUGGCUGUGUGCGAAAACGGUAACCGGCCACGGAUGUAUGAGCUCGACUUGGACUGUCCAGGAACAGGGGGUCCAAGGCAAGCCUCGUCCUGGUCCAACAUAAAAUCUCCAUCCACUCGGUCAGCGUCUGAGAACCAGGGGCGCUCGAGUCGGAGCGGCUUGAGCCCCCUCCCUGCCCACAGUGCACAACCAGAACUGCGUUCCUCUUCACUGACAACUCUUCUUCAUAUUUAUUUGGAAUACAAUUUUAUUUUCCUACUUUAAAAUAAAUAUGUCAGAAGUUAAACAAGUUGAAGGUGUAGUCAAAAUCUUCCUGACUUCAGUAGAAACAAUUAAGGGAUAGAAAUUGAAGCAGAGCUAGAGAUUACCUUGUUGUGAUGCUUAACUCGCAUUGUUCUGAAAAGAAAAAUAAAGCUCAAAUAAUUGUUUUCACUUUGGAACAUGCUG